rnacentral:rRNA from 1 species
UACGGAGGAUGCGAGCGUUAUCCGGAUUUAUUGGGUUUAAAGGGUGCGUAGGCGGACGGUCAAGUCAGCGGUAAAAAUGCGGUGCUCAACGCCGUACAGCCGUUGAAACUGGCAGUCUUGAGUGGGCGAGAAGUAUGCGGAAUGCGUGGUGUAGCGGUGAAAUGCUUAGAGAUCAUACAGAACACCGAUUGCGAAGGCAGCUUACCAAUCUAUAUCUGACGUUGAGGCACGAAAGCGUGGGGAGCAAACAGG